rnacentral:rRNA from 1 species
GUGGGGAAUAUUGGGCAAUGGGCGAAAGCCUGACCCAGCAACGCCGCGUGAAGGAAGAAGGCCCUCGGGUUGUAAACUUCUUUUAAGAGGGACGAAAGAAAUGACGGUACCUCUUGAAUAAGCCACGGCUAACUACGUGCCAGCAGCCGCGGUAAUACGUAGGUGGUGAGCGUUAUCCGGAUUUACUGGGUGUAAAGGGCUUGUAGGCGGGAUAGCAAGUCAGGUGUGAAAUCCGGGGGCUUAACCCUCGAACUGCACUUGAAACUGUUAUUCUUGAGUGAUGGAGAGGCAAGCGGAAUUCCUAGUGUAGUGGUGAAAUACGUAGAUAUUAGGAGGAACACCAGUGGCGAAGGCGGCUUGCUGGACAUUAACUGACGCUGAGGCGCGAAAGCGUGGGGAGCAAACAGGAUUAGAAACCCGUGUAGUCC